rnacentral:misc_RNA from 1 species
GAUGAAGAACGCAGCGAAAUGCGAUAAGUAAUGUGAAUUGCAGAAUUCAGUGAAUCAACGAAUCUUUGAACGCACAUUGCGCCCCCUGGUAUUCCGGGGGGCAUGCCUGUUCGAGCGUCAUUUCACCACUCAAGCCUCGCUUGGUAUUGGGCAACGCGGUCCGCCGCGUGCCUCAAAUCGACCGGCUGGGUCUUCUGUCCCCUAAGCGUUGUGGAAACUAUUCGCUAAAGGGUGUUCGGGAGGCUACGCCGUAAAACAACCCCAUUUCUAAGGUUGACCUCGGAUCAGGUAGGGAUACCCGCUGAACUUAAGCAUAUCAAUAAGCGGAGGA